CCUACGGGAGGCAGCAGUGAGGAAUAUUGGUCAAUGGACGCAAGUCUGAACCAGCCAUGCCGCGUGCAGGAAGACGGCUCUAUGAGUUGUAAACUGCUUUUGUACGAGGGUAAACGCAGAUACGCGUAUCUGUCUGAAAGUAUCGUACGAAUAAGGAUCGGCUAACUCCGUGCCAGCAGCCGCGGGAAUACGGAGGAUUCAAGCGUUAUCCGGAUUUAGUGGGUUUAAAGGGUGCGUAGGCGGUCGGAUAAGUUAGAGGUGAAAUCCCGAGGCUCAACUUCGGAAGUGCCGCUGAUACUGUUCGGCUAGAGAGUAGUUGCGGUAGGCGGAAUGUAUGGUGUAGCGGUGAAAUGCUUAGAGAUCAUACAGAACACCGAUUGCGAAGGCAGCUUACCAAGCUACUUCUGACGUUGAGGCACGAAAGCGUGGGGAGCAAACAGGAUUAGAUACCCUAGUAGUC
rnacentral:rRNA from 1 species